CAGUCGCCGCGGUAAAACGUAGGUGGCAAGCGUUGUCCGGAUUUAUUGGGCGUAAAGCGAGCGCAGGCGGUUUCUUAAGUCUGAUGUGAAAGCCCCCGACUCAACCGGGGAGGGUCAUUGGAAACUGGGAGACUUGAGUGCAGAAGAGGAGAGUGGAAUUCCAUGUGUAGCGGUGAAAUGCGUGGAGAUCAAGAGGAACACUCGUGGCGAAAGCGAGCUACUGGACAAUAACUGACGCUGAGGCUCGAAGGCCAGGGUAGCGAAAGGGAUUAGAUACCCCCGUAGUCCCUGUCUCUUAUAC
rnacentral:rRNA from 1 species